AUAGUCAUUUAGUCUCUAUGGGCCAGAUGGUCAGUUGGUGAGAAACUGUUCAGAUGGGGGUCUAUAACAUCACAGAGGUUUACAGCAGCUGACAGUUGCAACUUCAUCGAUACUAACUCAAACUGACUUGGUUUAAAUAAAGACAAUAUUUGUAAAGAUAAAAACGUAUAAGUGUAAGUAUGUCUAAGUAUUUCUGAACAAUAGUAAAUUCUGAAGGACAGAGUAUGUGAAUUAAUACCAGAAAGUAUAUAUUACUAGUUAGUAGAACUGCUACUUGAGCUGAGUUGCUGACAGACAGCAGUUUUCAAAGUGUAAACUAAUCAGUAGACCCACAUGUUAUCAGUAACACGUCUGGUAAAGAUGGUGGAGGAGCUUUUCAAUGAUAUGGUUUUAUGUUUAUCUCAGGGUUUCUCCAUCCUUUUGUUCUUACCAGCACUUACACACCUGAUUCAACUAAUCAUCACAUAUUUUAAGACAGUUUAAUAUUUGAGGCAUACAAAUGAACAUUCUCAAAUUAAAACCUUUUGGAUUUGGUAAACCUGUUAACAAUUAUUAAAGGCCUACAGUAAUGUAAGAGAGACGUCUCGAAGAAGGACUAUACAUUUUUUUGAAGCAAGAUGCGGCACAAUGUCAUGAUUUACUGCUGUCGCAUGAAGCUGACUGUUAGCGCCACCCUCUGGUUACUGUUGUUAUGUGAAGGGGUGACGCCUUGACUGCAGUUGAAAUUGAAAACAGAAAGUAUCUGUACAGGGCCAUUUUGAGAUGACAGAGCAGCUCAUAGUUGAAUCUCUAAACUGCAACGCAGUUUCACAGUAAAGUGAGUAUUUCAGGUUAAUAAUCUAGAAUAAAGUAGAGGGGACAUGUGGAAUACAGUAAACUAGUGUCUGAGUGCUGCUGAGUCAUUCUUCUGUCUUUCAGGUUAAUAAUCUAGAAUAAAGUAGAGGGGACAUGUGGAAUACAGUAAACUAGUGUCUGAGUGCUGCUGAGUCAUUCUUCUGUCUUUCAGGUUAAUAAUCUAGAAUAAAGUAGAGGGGACAUGUGGAAUACAGUAAACUAGUGUCUGAGUGCUGCUGAGUCAUUCCUACCAUGUGGUGCCUUUUCUGUCCCCAGGAAAUAUCAGUUCUUAUUUAGUGAAAGCUGAAAUAAAUCAUUCUCUCUACUAUUAUUCUGACAUUUCACAUUCUUUAAAAUAAAGUGGUGAUCCUAACUGACCUAAAACAAGGACUUUUUACGAGGAUUAAAUGUCAGGAAUUGUGAAAAACUGAGUUUAAAUGUAUUUGGCUCAGGUGUAUGUACGUGUAUAUAUUAAUUUACUGCUCUAAGGAUAUAAUUAUUGUUUACAUCACCUUAUUACUAUUAUGUUUAGAUUUUUCCCUUCCAUUUGUUUUACUAUUUAUGUGAUGUGCAAUGCAGAGAACACUGAAGAGGAAUUAUCAUUUAAUUUCCACAGUGAAUUAUUGUAAUGUUUGUUUAUGUGUCAAUUAACCCCAUAAGGGAAGGGUUGCCAGGUGGCGAUUUGACACAAUAAUAAAGUUUUCA
ensembl:lncRNA